rnacentral:rRNA from 1 species
CCUACGGGUGGCUGCAGUGGGGAAUAUUGGACAAUGGGCGAAAGCCUGAUCCAGCCAUGCCGCGUGUGUGAAGAAGGCCUUCGGGUUGUAAAGCACUUUCAGUGGGGAAGAAAGCCUUGGGGCUAAUACCCUCGAGGAAGGACAUCACCCACAGAAGAAGCACCGGCUAACUCCGUGCCAGCAGCCGCGGUAAUACGGAGGGUGCGAGCGUUAAUCGGAAUUACUGGGCGUAAAGCGCGCGUAGGCGGUCUGAUAAGCCGGUUGUGAAAGCCCCGGGCUCAACCUGGGAACGGCAUCCGGAACUGUCAGGCUAGAGUGCAGGAGAGGAAGGUAGAAUUCCCGGUGUAGCGGUGAAAUGCGUAGAGAUCGGGAGGAAUAUCAGUGGCGAAGGCGGCCUUCUGGACUGACACUGACGCUGAGGUGCGAAAGCGUGGGUAGCAAACAGGAUUAGAUACCCCGGUAGUC